UACAGAGGUCUCAAGCGUUUGUUCGGAUUCAUUGGGCGUAAAGGGUGCGUAGGCGGCGCGGUAAGUCGGGUGUGAAAUUUCGAGGCUUAACUUCGAAACUGCAUUCGAUACUGCCGUGCUAGAGGACUGGAGAGGAGACUGGAAUUUACGGUGUAGCGGUGAAAUGCGUAGAUAUCGUAAGGAAGACCAGUGGCGAAGGCGGGUCUCUGGACA
rnacentral:rRNA from 1 species